CAGCGGAGGGAUCAUUAGCGAGUUAAUUACAAACUCCAAACCCAUGUGAACAUACCUACUGUUGCCUCGGCAGGCCGUGCUGCGCGGCUGGAUCGCCCACCCCCCGCGUGGGUAGCUACCCUGGAGUAGCUACCCUGUAGCGGGAGCGGCCCGCCCCGCGGCGCGCCAACAGGCCUGCCGAAGGACCCCUAAACUCUGUUUUGCACCUGUAUCUCUGAGUUUAUUAUACAAAUAAGUUAAAACUUUCAACAACGGAUCUCUUGGUUCUGGCAUCGAUGAAGAACGCAGCGAAAUGCGAUAAGUAAUGUGAAUUGCAGAAUUCAGUGAAUCAUCGAAUCUUUGAACGCACAUUGCGCCUAAUAGUAUUCUGUUAGGCAUGCCUGUUCGAGCGUCAUUUCAACCCCCAAGCCCUAUUUGCUUGACGUUGGGAGUUUACGGAGACGUAAUUCCUCAAAUAUAGUGGCGGAGCUAGGUCGUGCUCUAAGCGUAGUAACCAAAUUCUCGCUUCUGAAGCCGGCCCGGGUCCUGCCGUAAAACCCCCUAUAUUUU
rnacentral:rRNA from 1 species